rnacentral:rRNA from 1 species
CAAUAGCGUAUAUUUAAGUUGUUGCAGUUAAAAAGCUCGUAGUUGGAUUUCGGGUGGGACGCAGCGGUCUCGCAUUGCGUUUGUACUGCUGCAGCCCUCCUUCUUGCCGGGGGCGGCCUCUCGGACUUCACUGUCUGGGGGUCAGAAUCGGCGAUGUUACUUUGAGUAAAUUAGAGUGUUCAAAGCAAGCUUACGCUCUGAAUAUAAUAGCAUGGGAUAACACGACAGGACUCUGGCCUAUCGUGUUGGUCUAUAGGACCAGAGUAAUGAUUAAGAGGGACAGUCGGGGGCAUUCGUAUUCCGUUGUCAGAGGUGAGAUUCUUGGAUUUACGGAAGACGAACAUCUGCGAAAGCAUUUGCCAAGGAUGUUUUCAUUGA